rnacentral:rRNA from 1 species
GAUGGGAGCUUGCUCCCAGGCGUCGAGCGGCGGACGGGUGAGUAAUGCAUAGGAAUCUGCCCGAUAGUGGGGGAUAACCUGGGGAAACCCAGGCUAAUACCGCAUACGUCCUACGGGAGAAAGCAGGGGCUCUUCGGACCUUGCGCUAUCGGAUGAGCCUAUGUCGGAUUAGCUGGUUGGUGAGGUAAUGGCUCACCAAGGCGACGAUCCGUAGCUGGUCUGAGAGGAUGAUCAGCCACAUCGGGACUGAGACACGGCCCGAACUCCUACGGGAGGCAGCAGUGGGGAAUAUUGGACAAUGGGCGAAAGCCUGAUCCAGCCAUGCCGCGUGUGUGAAGAAGGCCCUCGGGUUGUAAAGCACUUUCAGUGGGGAAGAAAGCCUUGGGGCUAAUACCCUCGAGGAAGGACAUCACCCACAGAAGAAGCACCGGCUAACUCCGUGCCAGCAGCCGCGGUAAUACGGAGGGUGCGAGCGUUAAUCGGAAUUACUGGGCGUAAAGCGCGCGUAGGUGGCUUGAUAAGCCGGUUGUGAAAGCCCCGGGCUCAACCUGGGAACGGCAUCCGGAACUGUCAGGCUAGAGUGCAGGAGAGGAAGGUAGAAUUCCCGGUGUAGCGGUGAAAUGCGUAGAGAUCGGGAGGAAUACCAGUGGCGAAGGCGGCCUUCUGGACUGACACUGACACUGAGGUGCGAAAGCGUGGGUAGCAAACAGGAUUAGAUACCCUGGUAGUCCACGCCGUAAACGAUGUCGACUAGCCGUUGGGAGCCUCGAGUUCUUAGUGGCGCAGUUAACGCGAUAAGUCGACCGCCUGGGGAGUACGGCCGCAAGGUUAAAACUCAAAUGAAUUGACGGGGGCCCGCACAAGCGGUGGAGCAUGUGGUUUAAUUCGAUGCAACGCGAAGAACCUUACCUACCCUUGACAUCGUGCGAACUUGGUAGAGAUACCUUGGUGCCUUCGGGAACGCACAGACAGGUGCUGCAUGGCUGUCGUCAGCUCGUGUUGUGAAAUGUUGGGUUAAGUCCCGUAACGAGCGCAACCCUUGUCCCUAUUUGCCAGCGAUUCGGUCGGGAACUCUAGGGAGACUGCCGGUGACAAACCGGAGGAAGGUGGGGACGACGUCAAGUCAUCAUGGCCCUUACGGGUAGGGCUACACACGUGCUACAAUGGUCGGUACAAAGGGUUGCAAAGCGGCGACGUGGAGCUAAUCCCAGAAAGCUGAUCUCAGUCCGGAUCGGAGUCUGCAACUCGACUCCGUGAAGUCGGAAUCGCUAGUAAUCGUGAAUCAGAAUGUCACGGUGAAUACGUUCCCGGGCCUUGUACACACCGCCCGUCACACCAUGGGAGUGGACUGCACCAGAAGUGGUUAGCCUAACUUCGGAGG